AUUGAACGCUGGCGGCAUGCUUUACACAUGCAAGUCGAACGGUAACAGGCCUUCGGGUGCUGACGAGUGGCGAACGGGUGAGUAAUGCAUCGGAACGUGCCCAGAGGUGGGGGAUAACGCAGCGAAAGCUGUGCUAAUACCGCAUGUGAUCUGAGGAUGAAAGCGGGGGACCAGGCAGCAAUGUUUGGCCUCGCGCCUUUGGAGCGGCCGAUGUCAGAUUAGGUAGUUGGUGGGGUAAAGGCCUACCAAGCCGACGAUCUGUAGCUGGUCUGAGAGGACGACCAGACACACUGGGACUGAGACACGGCCCAGACUCCUACGGGAGGCAGCAGUGGGGAAUUUUGGACAAUGGGCGCAAGCCUGAUCCAGCAAUGCCGCGUGCGGGAAGAAGGCCUUCGGGUUGUAAACCGCUUUUGUACGGAACGAAAAGGCUCUGGCUAAUACCUGGGGCUGAUGACGGUACCGGAAGAAUAAGCACCGGCUAACUACGUG
rnacentral:rRNA from 1 species